AGCCGCGAACACUCUGAUUUUAGGAAUAGCUCAGAACAGUCGCGUAGUAGGAAGGAGACGCGAUGGAGUCAGAUGUCUUCCUUUUUGUGAGCGAUCCUGUUGCAUUGGGGCACUACUUUAAAUCAGGAUUCUGAAGAUCGACGACCUACUGGCCUGCUGUAGAAUUUAUUUUCAUUUUUCGAGACGCGUGCUGCUGUCCGGAUCAAGCAUGAACAUUACGGGAUCGGUUCCGCACAACCAGUUCACUUCACAUGAACAAUUUCAAAUACAUUAAUUGACGCAUCUGCACACACGUUCAUACGGUGUGUGUGUCAGCCGAAGUGCAGAAGCUGACCAUCUAAGAAUGUUUCAUAUCCGCGAGUGAAUACAGCAUGCCCUUCGGAAACGACAGCAGGCUACGGAAGUAGCCAGACGCGCCACACCUGCGUCUUGCUUUGCUUACUCUUCGAUUCCGAAUAUGGAGGCAGAAGACGCAGCCUUACGGCACACAAGGCAUUCUCUUCACAGUCGCCACUGUCAGAACCCAGAACUUCACCUCUGACGUCUCUUCUCAUUCCCGGAAUUCUACGUGACAGCAGGGACAAUGCAGCGGUUACCACGAGUAUAUGCACCACUCCUUUCCACAUCAAAAUGCUCUACGUUCUGGCUACACGAUGUAUACGCGUGUCUUGUCAUACUCAGAAUAAACAGCGGUUAGUUCGUUAAACAGCAUUAAAGACUUCUCUUUGUAAUUGACAUGCAUUUUAUUUCUGCAAGGUAGAACAGAAUUUAAGCAUUUUAUUUAGAAGAAAAUCAUGCUUAAAGUGGUUACAGAGAUCAAAUCACCACUUGACUAUAAUCAGCAUCUUAACAAAUCGAAACAACGGAGCACGCAAAUUUAAGAGACGAUGCCGAAAUAUGACAGCAAUUAUUUCGCUGCUUCUGCCUUGGAAACCACACAUCUCGCGUGAUUGAUACGUGUAUAAAUGCCUACGUAAGAUUCGUUUAAGAUUAACCAAUAUACUGUGGCGUGCCGCCAAAAAGACGUCCAUUGAUAGGCAACGGCUGUGAUAAGAAUGUAUACUUCAGUGGAAACGCAAUACCAGCAGACCGUUGCAUAUGAAUCGCCCAAACAACAAAUGCGUUUCCCCGGAAAUGAAA